rnacentral:rRNA from 17 species
AGAUCGUAGGCUGCAACUCGCCUACGUGAAGGAGGAAUCGCUAGUAAUCGCAGGUCAGCAUACUGCGGUGAAUACGUUCCCGGGCCUUGUACACACCGCCCGUCACACCAUGGAAGUUGGCCACGCCCGAAGCCGUUACUCCAACCCUUGUGGAGGAGGACGUCGAAGGUGGGGCUGAUGACUGGGGUGAAGUCGUAACAAGGUAGCCGUACCGGAAGGUGCGGCUGGAUCACCUCCUAA